GCUGAACAAAAAGAGUGAUAUAUACAGCUUUGGUAUUGUGUUGCUAGAGCUAAUCACCGGCAGAACAGCAAUAAUAGAAGAUGUAGAACCCGAACCUGUUCACAUAUGUCGAUGGGUGAGGCCUAUGUUUCAGAGAAGAGAUAUUGAAAGUAUAUUGGAUUCAAGGAUCCAACCAGGGACUUACAACGUUUCCUCUGCUUGGAAGGCGGUAGAAAUUGCCAUGGAAUGUGUGUCAUCAACAGCUAUCGAAAGACCAGAUAUCAAUGUUGUGUAUAAGGAACUGAAGGAAUGUUUGGAAAUUGAGGUUCCACCUGAAAUAGCAAAGGUUCCAGAGGUUGAUGAUGAGAGUGAUGAUUGCAGUACUAAUUCAGUGUUUCUUUUCACAUGGCGUCCCACACUGAGUCUGAAAGCUUCUUAGUUCAUAUGAAGUCACACAAGUCUGAAACUAAAAGGCAUACGUGUUAGUUAUUCUUGCACUGUUAAAAUAAGAUUGGAAUUAUACGAGCGGAAACUAAUUGGACUAUUCCUACAAAUCUAGUAGGAGAACAUUGCCCCAAUUUUGGGUUUCUGGAUUGCAAGAAGAUUUACCGGAAGCAUGUUUAAAACUAAGUUCUUGCAACCGGAAGAGUGACGCAGGAGGAGUAUGGAGGGCUAACCAGCGUUAAACCCUAAUAAGUGGAGAGCCUUCAAGCGAAGAACUUUAUAGGAGCAAAACCUGGAGCGCGUCAGGGACUAAGAGAAAACUCUUAAGUUUCUGAAUUAUAUUUGAAAAACUGAAUGUCAGCUACCCAUAAGGGUGCUUAUAUAUGAGAAACAAAACCCUAGGGCGACUAACAACCAAACCUAAAAGCCUAAGGAUUGAAUUAAAACAGAAUCCAAAAAAACUAUGAAACAUAAAAAUCCCGAAAACUAAUAAAACGCUGUUUUGAGGUCCAAAACAAACUCGAAUAGUCGAAAAAAGUUAUACGUCGUGGCAAAACGACAAGUCUUGUUCGUUGGGCCGUUCCGCUUCUAGAAAUGUAUCAUAAUAGUCAUUCAGACAUCGAACGCUAAAUCUGCAGCAAACCGGGUUUGGACCUGCAACGAUCGAUCUGUUCCUCGAUUUCUUCUGCCAUCCGUCCUACAUCAAAGAGAUACUCAUAUACAUGAUGCCAAUGGAACAUUUGGGUACCUUGAUGCUGUAAACUGCAGAUUAUGUUUUCUACCUUAUUGUUAAAGACCAAUGACUUCUGAGUUUUGAUCACGAAAAAUAUGUGAAAAACGAAAUCGAAUCAUUGGAAUUCAAUGCACACAAUCUUCCAUGCCACAUCUAGUUGGGAUUAAUGCACCAUUUGGGAGAGAAGAAAAUUUAGAAUUAAGACAAGCGGACUUCAAACCAAAUAUGCUUCCAUAGUUCCAAUCAUGAAUCCAAGCAGACUCGAUUGCUUUGAUCACUACGGUAACCUCAGCAACAACAGAACUAGAAAUAUCAAGGGAUGAAGAAAAAGCACCGACAACCCUCACCUUGAAAAUCACAAAAAACUCCACCAUAACCUGACUGAACCUCCUCACUCUCCCAAACGCCAUCUGUAUUGACAUUUGCCCAACCAAUUAUAAGAGAGUGCUAAUUCACCUCAAAGGCUCAAAAAUUCUGGGGCACGACGCGGCCUAGCUACAAGUAACACUGAACCUCUUCAAGACACAAAACACAGUAAAAAAAUAAAAAAUAAAAAAACAGAGAGAGAGAAAGAAAAUAGAAAAGAAAAAUAUCAGGUAGUGUUAUCUAUAACCAUGACAUAGACUAAUUGGUGAAUACAAGUCGCACAAAAGAGCAUCAUGUUGGGACUUCUCAGUUUGCAGUAGGAAACUGGUCUUCAAUCAUCAAAUGUUCGUGGAUCAGUGGAUGUCUCCAGCGGAACAAAAUCCCUUUGUCUUCUUCUUCUCAAUUCUAAGUUCAGACUCGAAUGGCUAAUUGGAUUCUUUUCACCUUCAUUUCUAUAAAUGGGUGUGAGCCCUCUUCUACUCACGAUCCUCAUCACCCUCUCAUUCUUCCCAGGUACGUAAUCAAUCCAUCCUCAACUCCUCCACCUCUGUUUCUUAUUACUGAUCGAACAAACUGGUGUUUACUUGUUGGUUUCUUCGAGUGCAAAAACAGAGUCGACAUCGUUCGAGAUAGUCAACAACUGCAACUACACAAUCUGGCCCGGACUUCGCUCCACGGCCGGCUCAUCACUAAACCUGUCGACCACCGGCUUCACGCUCAAGAGCGGCGCGUCCUUCAACCUCUCCGUCCCCAAAUCCUGGACAGGUCAGGUGUGGGGCCGGACACUCUGCAACCAAUCCUCCACCAGAAACUUCUCAUGCUUCACCGCCGACUGCGGCACCGGAAAAAUCGAGUGCGACAGAAACGGUGGCAGUCUGCCGGCUACCCUAGCCGAGUUCUCUCUCAACCUCACCGGCGGCAUGGACUACUAUGACGUCAGCCUCGUCACCACUGGUGGAGCCGCACGGAGCAGGCAGCAGCAACUGCAGCUCUUCGGGAUGCUCGGUCGACUUGAACGGCUCGUGUCCCAGGGAGCUGAGGGUGGCGCGUGAGGGGAGCCAAGGGACCGUGGCGUGCAUGACGUCGUGCACGGCGUUCAAUAAUUCGUUGUUUUGUUGUACUGGGAGUGUUUUGCCGGAAAAGUGUGCCGGUACCGUAUACACCGAUUUUUUCAGACGGGAAUGCCCACAAGCGCAUGCCUAUGUGUAUGAUCCGAUCCAGACUUCUUCGUACACGUGUGCGUCAGCUAACUACAACAUUGUGUAUUUUUAUUUUUUAGAUAAUGACAAUUUACACAAGAAAAACAGAAACAACUUUAAUGUUAAAACUAUUUUUAAAGAUCAUCCAAAUGAUUCUCAAAAUUUCUUAGGGCUCGAAGUUUAUGUGAAAUGCUCUAAUUAUGUAUUGUAAUACAGUUUUUGUCACUUUGACUGUUUUAGGGUUCAAACUAAAUUGGAACACACCCAACUAGACAAGAACAACUAGGACGACUUGCAUAGUUUAGGUACUUGUACAAUUGUCACGUUUUAUGAUGUUCCAUUCAAGUUUCACGUAUGUUGUGAUGCAUCGUCUGAUUUCUAUGCAUAUUUGUCUAAUAAUACCAAGUGAACCAUAUUUUGAGGAAAAAUUCUAGUAUAACAUAUGGUAUAGUAUGCCUCACAAAAUGUGUGGCUAUCAUUGAUUGUAGAAACAAGUAAAUGAUCAUGUAAUGACCAUUUACCCUUUUAAAAGCUCUCAUGUGUCAUACAAUUAGACACAUUUACAAUAUGUAUGUAAUAUCAUAUGGUAUGAUAGACAAACACCAUUUUGAGAAACCAUAUAAAGCCCAUAUUUUGUUAAGACACAGUCACAUCAUUUAAUGAAAUAUUCUGAUUGAAUAAUGUAAAUGUCACUUAAGCUGAUACCUAAUGUUGGUUCGAGCUAGUUCUUUAAAAUAUGGUUAACUUAUCAUUGCUCUGAAAACAAAUAAAGUUCAUUCAACAUCACAAGUAAGAGCUAGGAACCCCUUGAUUAGUGUUGUGUUUUUGAAAGGGGACAUAACGCCUAAAUCAGUUGAUACACCAGUCCAAGAGCCGAUUGUAUACAAACGGUUCCUUUAGAAAGCAAAAACCACAAAAUAAAAAUUGUCUCUAUAGCAUCAAUUGCUGGGAUUGUCAAAGCACUAUUUGGGGAGAUUGAAUAAAAUUUAGAAUUAAAGAAGUAAUAAUUUUCGAAUUUGGGAGAAAGACCAUCUAAAUAUGUUUUGAGCCAAAAUAUCUUUCUAAUCACGAUUCCAAACCAGCUCUCUUGUCUUAAUCACCGCCAUAACACCUCAGCAGUAAUGAAACUAGAAAUAUUGAAGGCAUGAAGGAAAAACACUGAGAGCAAUUGCACCCAUGGAUGGAGGGCAAUCGCUGAUUUGCCAAUCAAAUUGGUACUGCUAAUCCACUAUUUAUCUAAAAUUGGCAAUUGCAUUUUGCUUGUUCAAUGCACCAAUUGGGCAAUUUACUUGCUAAUUUCAUUAUAAAUUAAUCAAUUCAUUUAUUUAUGAACUAAACUAAACUUAUAGUUUGAUUUGAUUAAUUAUUUUUAAAUUAUAAUAAUGGUACGUUAGUUAAUCUUAAUGAAAAAUUAUCUUAGGUAACAUUUGACAAAAUAAACGGUAAUUUUUAUAUAAAAAAAGGAGAAAGUUGUAGAACUUUGAUUAUGGAGUGUUUACUUCAUUUGUUUGACGGUUAUUCUAUAAUUGUUAGAGGGGAUGGUGGUUCGAGUCACCCCUGAAGCAUACUUUUUCCCAAAUCAAAACCAAUUUCCUUCUCUCCACGUGAUGGACAACCACUUUUAUGUGGAGCCCACCAGAAUUGGUCAGGCAAUUCAAUGGGCGAAAAUUAACAAUCCAAUUGCCCGGGCGGCUGGGUCCCAUGUGGGCCUUAGCAAUUGGUCGGGCAAAACUUUGCCGGUGCGAUGUUUUCUCUCAAUCAACAAAUCAGUCAUCAAAUCGAUCCAUUGGUGCAAAUGCUCUGACAAACUCAUUUUGAAAAUCACAAAAAAGUCUAACAUAACUUGACCGAUCCUUCCCACGCGUCCAAGAACCAUCAAAUCCAUGUUGAUCUUGACCUAACCAUUAAGAUUCACCUAUAAAAAUCUUUGAGGCACGACCCGGCUACGAUUAACGCCAGACAUCUUAAUUCGGUCUAUAUUAUCUGCAGCCAUGACAAAGACAAAUUGGCGUCUUCUUCUUCUUCUCAGUUCUAAUUAACUGGAAUGACUUGGAUUCUCACCUUCAUUUCUAUAAUGGGUGUGAGUCCUCUUUUACUCACGAUCCUCAUCACCCUCUCUUUCUUUUUAUCAGGUAAGCAAUCAAUCCGUACUCAACUCCUCCAUCUAUGUUUCUUAUUCAUCGAACAAACUUGUGUUUAGUGUUUACUUUUGGUUUCUCAGAAACAGAGUCAACAUCGUUCGAGAUAGUCAACAACUGCAACUACACAGUCUGGCCCGCAGUUAUCUCCUCCGGCACAGUAAACCUGUCGUCGCUGUCGACCACCGGCUUCACGCUCAAGAGCGGCGCGUCCUUCAACCUCUCCGUCCCCAACUCAUGGCAGGGUAGGGUGUGGGGCCGGACACUCUGCAACGAAUCCUCCACCGGAAACUUCUCCUGUUUCACCGCCGAUUGCGGCACCGGAAAAGUCGAGUGCGGCGGAAAUGGCUCCAAACCGCCAGCUACGUUCGCCGAGUUCUUAAUCAACAGCACCGGCAUGGACAUCUAUGAUGUUACCCUGGUCGACGGGUUCAAUCUCCCAAUGGUGGUGGAGCCCCUUGGUGGCAGCAACUGCAAAUCUUCGGGAUGCUCGGCCGACUUGAACGGCGCGUGUCCCAAGGAGCUGAGGGUGGCGCGUGAGGGGAGCCAAGGGACCGUGGCGUGCAUGACGCCGUGCACGGCGUUCAAUAAUGAUCUGUUUUGUUGUACCGGGCAGUAUAAUACACCCGAGACGUGUGCUGGGACCGUAUAUACCGAUUAUUUCAAACAAAGAUGCCCGAAAGCGUAUACCUACUCGUAUGAUGACAACCAGACUACGUACACAUGUGUGUCAGCUAACUACAGCAUUGUUUUCUGCCCGAUCAGGUACCUAGUUCAUAAUAUAUUGUCACGUUCUAUAAUGUUCCAUUCAAGUUUCACUCUGCUGAAUCACUUUCACUUUGCUGAAUCACUGCAAGUGAUGUUCGAGCAUCAGGGAGGGAACUCUCAACCCGAGUUCGAUUUCACCAAGUAGUUAAAGUGGUCAGACACAAUACUGAAAUGUAUAUUUGGAGCAUUUCAUAUGCACUUAGAGAUUAAUCAAUUCUUCGUAGUUCGUAUUAUAACAUGUCGAAUUCAAGAGCCAAUAUGAUGUUUUUGACAAAUGAGGUAGUGAUGAGACAACAAUGUGAAAGUAUGGGGUUAUUAGUAGUUUCCUGGGUGUUUUCUGGAUACAGUGUGGGUCUAUAUUACGUAGAACAGUAGAAUUACUAGUACUUACAACUUACAAGUAGAAAUCUUCUAUGAUACAAAUGCAGGUUAGUACGAAAGACUAACCAUCAAGCUUCUUUAUGUCAGUUUGGACCAAACACCAGCUGAAACACCAGCAGCCAAAGAACCAACUGUACCCGAACAGGUUCCUUCGAAAAGUAAAAGACACAAAAUCAUCAUUGCCUCUGUAGCGUCAAGUGCUGGGAUUAUUAUCUUCAUAUUAGCGGUAUUAGCGGGACUAUGGAGCACUAAAAGGAAGAAGAGACAACAAGGUUAGCAAAAUGAAUACUUAGGCCAACUUUGAUUGCAGGACUUUCAAUUUUUUAGCUAGUCUAUUUUGUGAUGAUCACUCUGGCUUCUGGUGUAGAGAUCCAAAAUAGUUCAUUGGAGUUGGACGAUGGUCGACGCUUCAUGUACUCGGAGCUUGUAAAGAUUACCAAUAAUUUUGCAUCGCCAAUUGGAGCAGGUGGAUUUGGAAAAGUCUAUCAUGGUAUUCUGGAAAAUGAUAUGCAAGUUGCCGUCAAGUUACUUAUUUCCGCAUCAGGCUCCAGUGAAUUUCAAAAUGAGGUCGAUAAGUUAGCAAUCUUAAAGCGAUUCGGACUGUCCCAAAACCACAAUCAUAUAUAAACCAAUCUGUGUAUGCAGGUUAAGCUAUUGAUGAGAGCUCAUCAUAGAAAUGUGGUUUCCUUCACUGGCUACUGCUAUGAUGGAAAGACUAUGGCACUUGUAUUUGAAUAUGUUGCCAAUGGAAAUUUACAACAACAUUUAACAGCUUCAGGUAUGCAGUUACAGUAUUUCAUCUAUAUAUAUAUAUGAUGUGCUUGCAUUACUUGAUGAUCACUUAUAUGCUAAAUGCAAUGAAUUGUGUGCACUGUUGGGGUUCAGAUGUAGAUACAGGAAACAUUUUGACUUGGAAGGAGAGACUUCAAAUCGCAGUGGAUGCAGCACAAGGUAUACAAUAGCUGAGAUAUAAGAACAAUAUAUAUGUGAAAUGGAUUGUUCCUUUGGUCUUCCUAUAUAUUUCCUAAAUCAUGAUUGAGUUGCAAUAUGAUGUACAUUAGUACCUGACAUCGAUUAGGCUUUUAAAAGGCAGAUAAUAUUUUGCAGGACUGGAUUAUCUACAUAAUGGUUGCAAGCCUCCCAUAAUCCACAGAGAUAUAAAGACCUCCAAUAUAUUGUUAACUGAAAAGAUGCAAGCCAAGAUAUGUGAUUUUGGUGUUUCCAAACUUCUUUCAACUGAAACUGCUACUCAUACCAUGACAGAUCACGUCAGAGGAACUCGAGGAUACUUUGAUCCUGAGUAAGUUAGUAAAGACGUAUAUAAGUUACUUAAAAAUUGCUGAAAGAUAAAUUGCUGAUAGAUAAGCAUAACUUACAUUCUUCGAUUUUCUUCUUUUCAUCUCGUUAUGUUCAGAUACUACACCACAGGAAAGCUGAACAAAAGAGUGAUAUAUACAGCUUUGGUAUUGUGUUGCUAGAGCUAAUCACCGGCAGAACAGCAAUAAUAACAGAUGUAGAACCCGAACCUGUUCACAUAUGUCAAUGGGUGAGGCCUAUGUUUCAGAGAAGAGAUAUUGAAAGUAUAUUCGAUUCAAGGAUACAAGCAGGGACUUACAACGUUACCUCUGCUUGGAAGGCGGUAGAAAUCGCCAUGGAAUGUGUGUCAUCAACAGCUAUCGAAAGACCAGAUAUCAAUGUUGUGUAUAAGGAACUGAAGGAAUGUUUGAAAAUUGAGGUUCCACCUGAAAUAGCAAAGGUUCCAGAGGUUGAUGAUGAGAGUGAUGAUUGCAGUACUAGUUCAAGUGUCCCUGUUCUACAUGACGUCCCACACUCGGUCUGAAAGCUUCUUAGUUCAUAUGAAGUCACACAUUGAGUCUGAAACUGAAAGGCAUACGUGUUAGUUAUUAUUUUGUUUUGAAAUCAACAUUUUAGUUAUUCUUGCACUGUUAAAACAAGAUUGGAAUUAUACGAGGGCGGAAACUAAUUGAACUAUUUCUACAAAUCUAGCAGAACAUUGCUCUGAUUAAAACUGUUCUUUCACUUCUUUCCAAGAGUAUAUUAUUACCUCUGGAGAAUCCAGAAGUAUGUUUUAAAUUAAGUUCUUGCAACUGGAAGUGGCACUCGUAUAUCAACUUAUGCAAAGGAACAUUUCGGGUACCUUGAUGCUGUAAACUGCUGGUUAUAAAAACUGAUGAAGAUUUUCAACGUUCGCGAUUAUUUCAGGAUCAAUGACUUCUGAUAAACAGUUGCACAGAUCAAUGAGAUCGUUGUUGAUACGAAUUCGAGCAGCUCAGCUCAUGGAAGAAAGAGCUGCAACACAAAAAUGCUAGAUAGAUAAUUCAUUGUCAAAAGUUUGGAAAUCGAUUAAUUCAUAGUGGGUCGUCCAUCUAUGUAAUGAAACUAGAUAUUGAAAAAGCUUCCAUAGUCUGAAGAAAGUAGUCGUUCAGAAAUCAGAAGUAACAAAUACUGGAGUAACAAAUACUUUUCAAUACAUCUAUCCGCAGAAAAUGAACCGAGAAAGACUGUUAGGCACAUGAACUAGAUUCCCUAAAUAUUACAAAUGUCAUGAAUUACAUCCCUGCCAACAUUUCCAGUAAAAUUUACAUCAAGCAUAGAGGCACAAUUCUGGUCAGGUCUUAGGAAAUUGGCUUUCUUUCUUUUGAUUAUCUAGAUGAUGAUUAGAACCCAAAUUGAGAAUGAUAGAUUAGGGAUGCAGUUUUGUGAGAUUGUAAGCCUCGAAGCCAUCACCUACCUUGCACACUGGCAGGAGAUUGUCCACCUCUCUCACUGCCAAUAUCAUCUUCUACUCCACUCACGUCUAAACAAAGGCCAUUGUUGUUUACACUGACUUCAGAGCUAGCAUUACUGCUGGUGGCAAGAGGAGAAUCUGAAACACUAACCGUUCUGCUUCGUGCAGGCCCUGAUCUCACACUGUACAUAGAGGAUGCAGGAAUAUUUGUCAUCAACGGCCGCAAAUUACCAGGAAUGGUUCGCCUUAUAUCCUGCAAUCAAAAGUUAAAUCAAAUAUUAAUAUCACUGGGUUUCUGGGAUGUACAUCAAAUCAUAAACAGGAAAAGAAUGAUUACCAUGUGACGUAUAGCCAUAUCAAGGGAUUUCUUUGAGAGUGUUCUACCAAAGCCGGAACUGUCUGGGGAUGAAGAUGACUUCCCAGAGUUACCAUGAGGUGACGGUUUGUCAUCAUGCUUGGGGGGAGCCAGUCUCCGCAUAUUUAUUACCCUCUCAACCAUUUUCGUUCCCAUUAAAACAGGGCUCACAUUGUCAUUAACUUUAGAACGCCCACGACUGAAUGCAGGAACAGAGCUCCCACUAAUAUGAGUACUGCCAUUGGGAGCCCUUCCUCUUGAAGGAGAGCAUAAACAGUAGCAAAACCUUCUCAAAUCAAGUAAAUUUUUCAAACGCAAUUUAUAAGCUGAGCAAAGUGAUUGCAGCUUGGGCAGAUGCGAAAGAGUUCAAUAGUUCAGACACUCAUGUAACGGCCAAUCAGGCUUUGCAAUGAACAAGUUUUGACCUUUUCUGCUUCCUAUUGCAUAUUUUUUAGGAUAAUAAAUGCCAAGCGUAUUAAUUACUUGAAAGUUAAAAAGGAGAGUCAAAAUCAAAUCCAUAUGAAACGGCUACUCCUAUCACAUAGAGAUGCAUAUACUCCAACCACUCCAGAUUAAGAAUUACUACCCUCAUAAUAAGGAAGUGCUAACUCUAGAUUUGAGUGCAGUUGGACGAGCCUUUGGGGUUCCAAGCUGACUCAUCAUGGUCUUAUGUGAUUCCAUUUACAGUGAAGGGAAAAGAGGAGUCCCAGGCGGAGUUAAAAGCCUGCAGCAAGGGGGGAAAAAUCAUAUAAUGAUCUCAGUUAAAGCAGAACAUAAUAUAUAAUAAGACCCAACUUCAAAAGCCAAUUGCCACCUCUGCUAAAGUCUGAUCCUAAUAUGCUCUUAAGAACAAAAUAACACAUGUUUCCAUGAACUGUGGUCAGCAUUCCUUUCCAAAAAUUACUCAUAGUAGAUCCCCGCCUCCCCUAUUAUCUAUCAAAACCCUCUCAGCUAAAAAACAACUUUUACAGAUAAAAUGUAAUCUAUACUAUCACAUUACCAAUCAUAGUCAUUCUUAUCAUUCUCCAAAUUGAGAAACUUAUCAGUUCCACUCUUGCGCGUCAUCAGUUCCACUCUUGCGCGUGGAGGGCGCCGGCGUAGAUGAGGAUAUAUUAAAAAUGGGAGAAGUUCCGGGUUUAGCCCCUGCAAAUGUCGAAACAACCACACUAGUCAACCCACAUUUCCAAACAAUUCAAGCCAACUAUUACACUAAUACAGCACCAGUUCAAGAACUAAAUUUGAAAUCCUAUGUUACAAUCCAAAAUCCGAAAAAAAAACUAAGACUUGGGAACUGAGAAGUACCUAAAGGCGCAACGAACUCUUCAGAAGUGUUGAGAAGAAGAUCGUUCCUCUCCUUCUCCCUCUUCUUCAUCUCUAGAAACAACACCAGCUCUUCUUCCUUCUCCUUCCUCAUCAAGGCCCUCAGCUUGUGAAGUUCCAAGUACUUCCGGUAUGUUAAGCAAAAAAUAUAACAGGUGUUUAUCAUGGCACAAUACACCUGUUUGGUAGAACAACAUCCAUGGCCAGGAACUUGUCCUCAUUCUGGUCUCAGCUUCAGUUAAAUGUUAUAUGUUUAGCAGGGUAACUGAAGAAUGGAAGAAGCGAUUUUUCUUUUUCAAAGAACAAUAUUAAGACAUUAAGUGGGGGCAAUUGCCCUCACUAGGCAUAACAUGCGUCCGCCUAUGGCAGUAGAAGUAAUUCACUGACUCACUAUUAAGAGACUACAUACCUACAUUCUAAUCUGAACAUGUAAACUUUGAGUUUCAGAAAUGUACAAGUUUGGAGUAUUUCUGCUAGGGAUGAUGGUAAACAGGAUGCCACAAAAAGAGUUUGAGAGGUGCAACGAUUGUUAUAUGCAGAAUGCAUUAUCUUAGAAAUCGAGAGACACCGACAGACCCGAAAAUGGAAUUGACUCAAAACAUUGAUGCAAAUAUUCAAAAUACUCUUAAAACAAUAUCCUUACUUCACAGUUCACAUUCAAUAUACUCAUAUCUCACGAUGUUAAGCUGAAUAAAAUUCAAGGGAAUUGAGAUGAACAUGCCAAUCUAUAUACUAAUCAUUACUAUUGCAGCAUAAUACUCCAACAUUCUCAACUCGCAAAAAAGGAUAGAUUAACACAACAAAGCUUUAAUUCAACCAAUAUAUACAAACUCAUCAUUGAUCGUUACCUUCACCAACGAGAUGGCAGUUACCAACAAGAUGAAUACUUCAAUCGGCUGCAAAUUCGAAAAAAAUUUAUUUAUCCCCAAUUUCGGAUUAAAUCUAACGCCGGGCCCAAGGUUUCAAACAUUUUUACGAUCUUGGGUUGUCCGGAAUGGAAUGUUGACAGCCAAGAGGACCUCGAUGUCGAUCGAUUGCUUGAGUAAUAGACCCGGUAAGCAAGAGGAUGAGUGGUUGGUCGGCUUGAAUGGGUUAUGCUAUUAUUGUUUUAUUGCGUCUGCUUUUUCUUUUUUCUUUUUUAUUCCAGUGGUUAACGCCACUUGACUAACGCCUUCUUUCACGUGCACUGCAUAUGGGCGUGUACAUCCACGGCCGUGCACACAAGACACUCAGCUGGAAACUUCCACGAACAAUAGAUGAUUGAAGACCCAGUUUGCUUCUGAAGAUUGAAAAGUCUUGCGUGUGGACUUUCUCACCAGUUUGCUCCACAAGACACUCCGGUUUUUCAAAAUUUCUCUCCGAUCACUAUUUGAUCGGAGUGUCUUGUGGAGCAAACCGGAGUGUCUUCAAUCAUCUAUUGUUCGUGGAAAUUUCCAGCGGGACAAAAACCUUUCGUGUUCUUCAUCUCAGUUCUAACUUUCAAACUCGAAUGACUAAUUGGAUUCUUCACCUUCAUUUCUAUAAUGGGUGCGAGUCCUCUUUUACUCACGAUCCUCACCCUCUCUUUCUUCUUAUCAGGUAAGUAAUCCAUCAUCAACUCCUCCAUAUCGAGUGAUCGAACAAACUGGUGUUUACUUUUUAGUGAUCGAGUGCAGAAACAGAGUCCGUAUCGCUCCAGAUAGUCAACAAGUGCAACGACACAAUCUGGCCCGGAAUUCUCUCCACCGGCAGAGUAAAACUGUCGACCACCGGCUUCACGCUCGAAAGCGGCGCGUCCUUGAACCUCUCCGUCCCCGACUCCUGGACAGGUCGUGUCUGGGCCCGGACACUCUGCAACCAAUAUUCCAGCGGAAACUUCUCCUGUUUCACCGCCGACUGCGGCACCGGAAAAAUCGAGUGCGACGGAAACUUUGGCAGUCUGCCGGCUACUACAGCCGAGUUCAGUCUCAACAGGACCGGCGGCGUGGACUUCUAUUUCGUCAGCCUCGUCACCGGGUUCAACCUCCCGAUAGUGGUGGAGCCUCGCGGAGCAGGCAGCAACAACUGCAGCUCUUCGGGAUGCUCGGCCGACUUGAACGGCGAUUGUCCCAAGGAGCUGAGGGUGGCGCGUGAGGGGAGCCAAGGGACCGUGGCGUGCAUGACGCCGUGCAUGGCGUUCAAUAAUUCGCGGUUUUGUUGUACGUAUCGUGCAUCCGACACGUGUGAUGGGACCGUAUAUAGCGAUUAUUUCAAACAAAGAUGCCCACAAGCGUAUACCUACUCGUAUGAUGACAACCAGAGUACGUACACCUGUGCUUCAGCUAAUGACUACAGCAUUGUUUUCUGUCCUAUCAGGUACCUAGUCCAUUAUAUAUUGUCACGUUUUAUGAUGUUCCAUUUGAGAGUCAUGUUGUAGAACCACUGCGAUUAAUCAAUUCUUGCUAUUAUAACAUGUCAAGAUGUCAAGAACCAGUAUGUUGCAUAUGAAGUUCUUGAGGAAUGUGGUAGUGAUAAGUUCUUGAGGAAUGUGCAAGUGCAAGGGGUUAAUAGUAGGUUCGAAGUUUUCUAAUUAUGUAGAACACUAGAAUUAGUAGUAUACAACUAGAAUUCAGAAAUCAUCCAUGAUACGAAUGCAGGUUAUUACAAAAGAUUUACUCCAAUUAAAGCACGUUAAUAACUGGUAACCAUCAAGCUUCGAUUCUUUAUGUCAGUUUGGACCAAACACCUUCGAAAAGUAAAAACCACAAAAUCGUGAUUGCCUUUAUAGCGGCAAGUGCUCAGAUUAUCAUCUACAUAACGAUGUUUGCGGGCCUAUGGAGCAUUACAUCGAAGAGACGACAAGGUUAGCAAAAUGAAUGCAUAGGCCGACUUGGAAUGCAGGACUUUCAGUUUUUUAGCUCGUCAUUUAUGUGAUGAUCACUCUGGUUUUUGGUGUAGAUAUCAAAAAUAGUUCAUUGGAGUUGGAGGAUGGUCGACGCUUCAUGUACUCGGAGCUUGUAAAGAUUACCAAUAAUUUUGCAUCGCCAAUUGGAGCUGGUGGAUUUGGAAAAGUCUAUCAUGGUCUUCUGGAAAAUGAUAUUCAAGUUGCUGUCAAGUUACUUAUUUCCGCAUCAGGCUCCAGUGAAUUUCAAAAUGAGGUAGAUAAGUUAACAAUCUAGCUCUAAAGCGACUCGGACUGUUCCAAAACCGCAAUUAACAUUAACUUUGAGCCAUAUAUAACAAACUGUAUGCAGGUUAAGCUAUUGAUGAGAGCUCAUCAUAGAAAUGUGGUUUCCUUCAUUGGCUACAGCUAUGAUGGAAAGACUAUGGCACUUGUAUUUGAAUAUGUGGCCAACGGAAAUCUGCGGCAACAUUUAACAUUUUCAGGUAUGCACUUAUCAUACUUCAUCUAUAUAUAUGAUGUGCUUGCAUUACUUGAUGAUCACUUAUAUGGCCUAAAUGCAAUCAUUUGUGCACUGUUGAGGUUCAGAUGCAGCCACUGGAAACAUUUUGACUUGGAAGGAGAGACUUCAAAUCGCAGUGGAUGCAGCACAUGGUAUAGAAUAGCUGACAUAUAAGAUAAAUAUAUAUGUUAAAGAGUUUGUUUCUUUGGUUCCCCUAUAUAUAUUCAUCAUGUAGUUCUAAAUCAUGAUCAUGUUGAAAUUUGAUGUACAUUAGUACAAGGCAUCGAUUAGGCUUUUAAAUGGCAGAUGAUAUUUUGCAGGACUGGAUUAUCUACACAAUGAUUGCAAGCCUCCCAUAAUCCACAGAGAUAUAAAGACCUCCAAUAUAUUGUUAACUGAAAAGACGCAAGCCAAGAUAUGUGAUUUUGGUGUUUCCAAACUUCUUUCAACUGAAACGGCCACUCAUACCAUGACAGAUCACGUCAGAGGAACUCGCGGAUACUUUGAUCCUGAGUAAGUUAGUAAAGACAUAUAUUAGACAUAUAAGUUGCUCUAAAUUGCUGAUAGAUAAGCAUAACUUACAUUCUUCGAUUUUCUUCUUUUCAUUUCAUUAUGUUCAGAUACUACACCACAGGAAAGCUGAACAAAAAGAGUGAUAUAUACAGCUUUGGGGUUGUGUUGCUAGAGCUGAUCACCGGAAGAACAGCAAUAAUAACAGAUGUAGAACCCGAACCUGUUCACAUUUGUCAAUGGGUGAGGCCUAUGUUUCAGAGAAGAGAUAUUGAAAGCAUAUUGGAUUCAAGGAUACAAGCAGGGACUUACACUGUUUCCUCUGCUUGGAAGGCGGUAGAAAUCGCCAUGGAAUGUGUGUCCUCAACAGCUACCGAAAGACCAGAUAUCACUGUCGUGUAUAAGGAAUUGAAGGAAUGUUUGGAAAUUGAGGUUCCACCUGAAAUACCAAAGGAUCCAGAGGUUGAUGAGAGUGAUGAUUGCAGUACUAGUUCAAGUGUCCCUGUUCCCAUGAUGUCCCACACUCGGUCUGAAAGCUUCUUAGUAGACAUGAAGUCACACAUUGAGUCUGAAACUGAAAGGCAUACGUAUUAGUUAUUCUUGCACUGUAAAACCAAGAUUGGAAAUUUGGAAUUAUACGAGAGCGGGAACUGAUUGGUUUCUACAAAUCUAGUAGAACAUUGCUCCAAUUGUGGGUUUCUCUGGAUUGCAAGAGGAUAUUACCUCCGAUGAAUCCAGAAGAAUGUUUAAAAUUAAGUUCUUGCAACUGGAAGUCUGGAAGAGACACUCUAUCAAUUGAUGCCAAAGGAACACUUGGGGUACCUUGUUGCUGUAAAUUGCAGGUUACCAGUUUUUCAACCUUCGUGUUUGUUUGAGGACCAAUCUGCUCAUGUAACAACAUUUGCAUUAUCAAUGCAUCAGCCACUUGGUUCCCUUUUUCGAAAAAUAUGUGAAAAACGAAAUUGCAUCACUGGAAUUCCAUGCCACAUCUCUAGUUAUCAAUGGACCAUUUAGGGAGUAUAGAAAAUCUAGAAUUAGAGACGACUUCAAACCAAAUAUGCAAGCUGGAUUGCCUUCAUCAUUGUCGUAACCUCAGCAACAAUUAUCAAGUGAUGAAGCAAAAGCAUGGACAAUCCUCACCUUGAAAAUCAUGAAAAACUCCACCAUAGCCCGACUGAUCCUCCCCACACUUUUAAGCGCCGUCUGUGUCAACCUUUACCAAACCAAUAAUGGGAGGUUUCCAAUUCACCUCAAAAAUAAGGGCAUGACGCGGCCGACAAGUAACACCAAACCAGCUAGUCAAGAGGACAAAACACAGACAAAAAAGAGAAAAUUACAUAGUAAUACAUGACCAAAUUUACAAACACAAAAACCAACUUUCAAUAUUUUUUGUACAAAUUAGGACAUGAGUACGUGCCGAAAACUAGUGGUACCAGAUAUGAUCCACACUUUCAUAAGCAAAUAACCAAUAUACCCACCGCGUUAUCUUCUUUCUCCAUCACCCAUAUCUCUCUCUCUCUCUCUCUCUCUCUNNNNNNNNNNNNNNNNNNNNCUCUCUACUCAGUACUCACCAUCAUCGCUGCCCCUCCUCCUCCACUGCCUCACUGUCGCCGCCGCAACAAUUGACGGUUCCCCUCAUCCGCGCCACACCAUCGCCGUCCUCUUCCUUCGUUGGUCGCCACGUCAGAAUCAACAGUAGUAGAAUCGCGUCUUCCUCCUAUCCAAGCUUGAUCACAUCACCUCUGUCCUUUGACGCUCGUCAAAGAGGCACGCCGCACGACGAUGCUCGACGACUACGACGCCCAGAUCGCAUCACUUCAGUCCUCCGAUGUCGGAUCUCAUACAACGUCAAGCUCUUAGAUCUGGUUAUGCAAACUGAUGUGAUCUGGUCGUCAUAUUCAUAUCCUAGCACCUUGUCAUGAUUUGGUUUGAAUUUGAAGCAUUGCAUAUGUUGGAGCAAACCUUGAUGCAUGGAUUUGAUCUUCAAUUUAUAUGAGAUGUUCAUGGAUUUGAUCUUCAGUUGGUAUGAGAUGCAUGGUGUCACCGUCUCUCAUUUGUCUCACUCAGUAGCAGUGAUAUAAAUGAGGUUGAAUGGUUUGGGUUUUGGUUGAUUAGUAGGUGAUGCCAUAUAUGAAUGAGGUUUGUUGUGAGAACAUGAAUGAGAUCUGUUUAUUUGAAUGAGGUUUGCUUAUCAAGUUAAACCAUUACUUGUUGUGGUAGAUGUAGUUUUAAAGUUCAUUAGUAGUGAUACGUACAGUAGCAGCAACGUUAUCAUCAGAGUCGGCUCGGCAGUAGUAGCGCUAGCAUCAAAGUUGGUAGUAGCAGCGCUCUAGCAUUAGAGUCGACAGUAGCAGCUUUGUUUGAUUUCAGAGAAUUGCCUGAAAAAAUUACAAUAACUCCUUUUUAUCGGGUGCUACUGUGCUACGUGGCAGUAGCACCCAAUGUGCUAUGUGCUAUGUGCUACUGUGCUUCUCAGUAGUGUGCUAUUGUGCUACUUGGCAGUAGCACCCAAUAUGCUAUUGUGCUACUCGGCAGUGUGCUACUGUGCUACAAGUCGAUAGUAGCAGUUGAUAUGUAAUGAAGGGUAUUCUGGUAAAAUUGUAGUGACAGAUGGCAUGUGAGUAUUAGUUUGUCAUAAUUUGUUAAUAUUUGUCUUUAAAUGUGUAAGAUAUUGUGUAAAAGAUGUAUUUGUAAACUGAAAUUUGGUUAAUAACUUUAUAGUAAUUUGCUAAAUUAAAAAAAGUGGGAGAAAAAAUAAUAUAAAAAUAAAUAAAAAUAAAAAAUGUCAUCUAGUAUUAUCUAUAGCCACGAGAAAGAAUGGGUGAAUUCGACUAUACAAGUCGCACAAGAGCAGCAAUGUUGGAAUUCUCAGUUGGUCUUCAAUCAUCUAUUGUUCACCUUUGUCUUCUUCUUCUCAGUUCUAACUUCAAACUCGAAUGACUAACUGGAUUCUUCACCUUCAUUUCUAUAAUGGGUGGGAGUCCUCUUCUACUCACGAUCAUGAUCACCCUUUCUGCUUUCUUCUCAGGUAAUGAAUCCACCCUCAUCUCCUCCAUCUCUGUUUCUUACUGAUCGAACAAACUGGUAUUUACUUCUUGGUUUCUUCAGAAACAGAGUCGACAUCUUUCGAGAUUGUGAACAACUGCAACUACACAAUCUGGCCCGGACUUCGCUCCACCGGCUCAUCACUAAACCUGUCCACCACCGGCUUCACGCUCAGGAGCGGCGCGUCCUUCAACCUCUCCGUCCCCAAAUCCUGGACAGGUCAGGUGUGGGGACGGACACUCUGCAACGAAUCCUCCACCGGAAACUUCUCCUGUUUCACCGCCGACUGCGGCACCGGAAAAGUCGAGUGCGACGGAAAUGGCGCCAUCCCGCCUGCUACUUUUGCUGAAUUCGAACUCAACAACUUCGGCUCCGGCGUGGACUACUAUGACGUCAGCCUGGUCACUGGGUUCAACCUCCCGAUGGUGGUGGAGCCUCGCGGAGCAGGCAGCAACCACUGCAUCUCUUCUGGAUGCUCGGCCGACUUGAACGGCGAUUGUCCCAAGGAGCUGAGGGUGGCGCGUGAGGGGAGCCAAGGGACCGUGGCGUGCAUGACGCCGUGCACGGCGUUCAAUAAUUCGCGGUUUUGUUGUACCGGGGAGUAUAGUACACCCGCCUCGUGUUCUGGGACCGUAUAUACCGAUUAUUUCAAACAAAGAUGCCCAAAGGCGUACACGUAUGCGUUUGAUUUGACGCCUUAUGCCAACCAGACUACGUUUACGUACAGCUGUGCGACAGCUAACUACAGCGUUGUUUUCUGCCCUAUCAGGUACCUAGCUAGUUCAUAAUAUAUUGUCAAAUUUGUCGUUGUUGAACCACUGCAAGUUACUUAGCGGUCAACCCGAGUUCGAUUUCAGAGUGUUGUUAAAGUGGUUAGAAGCUGAAAUGUAUAGUUGGAGCGCUGAGAGAUUAGUCGAUUCUUCGUAUUAUAACAUGUCGAAACGUUGGGCAAGAAGUCGAGAGCCAAUAUGAUGUUUUUGACGAAUGUGGUAGUGAUGAGACAACAAUGUGAAAGUGCAAGGGGUUAUUAGUAGUUUUCUGGGAGUUCUCUGGUUACAGUGUGGGUCUAUAUUAUGUAGAACAGUAGAAUUAGUAGUACUUACAACUUACACGUAGAAAUCUUCCAUGAUACAAAUGCAGGUUAGUAAGAAAGACUAACCAUCAAGCUUCUUUAUGUCAGUUUACCAGCUGAAACACAAGCAGAAACACCAGCCAAAGAACCAACUGUAUCCGAACAGGUUCCUUCGAAAAGUAAAAACCACACAAUCAUGAUUGCCUCUAUAGCGUCAAGUGCUGGGAUUAUCAUCUUCAUAUUAGCGGUGGUAGCAGGCCUAUGGAGCAGUAGAAGGAAGAGACAACAAGGUUAGCAAAAUGAAUACUUAGGCGGACUUUGAAUGCAGGAUUUUCAAUUUUUUAGCUAGUCAUUUUUGUGAUGAUUACUCUGGCUUUUGGUGUAGNNNNNNNNNNNNNNNNNNNNUACNGGAAACAUUUUGACUUGGAAGGAGAGACUUCAUAUCGCAGUGGAUGCAGCACAAGGUAUACAAUAGCUGAGAUAUAAGAACAAUAUAUAUGUGAAAUGGAUUGUUCCUUUGGUCUUCCUAUAUAUUUCCUAAAUCAUGAUUGAGUUGCAAUAUGAUGUACAUUAGUACCUGACAUCGAUUAGGCUUUUAAAAGGCAGAUAAUAUUUUGCAGGACUGGAUUAUCUACAUAAUGGUUGCAAGCCUCCCAUAAUCCACAGAGAUAUAAAGACCUCCAAUAUAUUGUUAACUGAAAAGAUGCAAGCCAAGAUAUGUGAUUUUGGUGUUUCCAAACUUCUUUCAACUGAAACCGCCACUCAUACCAUGACAGAUCACGUCAGAGGAACUAGAGGAUACUUUGAUCCUGAGUAAGUUAGUAAAGACAUACAUAAGUUACUUAGCAUUACUGAAAGAUAAAUUGCUGAUAGAUAAGCAUAACUUACAUUCUUCGGUUUUCUUCUUUUCAUGUCAUUAUGUUCAGAUACUACACCACAGGAAAGCUGAACAAAAAGAGUGAUAUAUACAGCUUUGGUAUUGUGUUGCUAGAACUAAUCACGGGCAGAACAGCAAUAAUAGAAGAUGUAGAACCCGAACCUGUUCACAUAUGUCAAUGGGUGAGGCCUAUGUUUCAGAGAAGAGAUAUUGAAAGUAUAUUGGAUUCAAGGAUACAAGCAGGGACUUACAACGUUUCCUCUGCUUGGAAGGCGGUAGAAAUCGCCAUGGAAUGUGUGUCAUCAACAGCUUUCGAAAGACCAGAUAUCAAUGUUGUGUAUAAGGAACUGAAGGAAUGUUUUGAAAUUGAGGUUCCAC
rnacentral:lncRNA from 1 species